CCUACGGGAGGCAGCAGUGAGGAAUAUUGGUCAAUGGACGAGAGUCUGAACCAGCCAAGUAGCGUGCAGGAUGACUGCCCUAUGGGUUGUAAACUUCUUUUAUAUGGGAAUAAAAUGUUCCACGUGUGGGAUUCUGUAUGUACCAUAUGAAUAAGGAUCGGCUAACUCCGUGCCAGCAGCCGCGGUAAUACGGAGGAUUCGAGCGUUAUCCGGAUUUAUUGGGUUUAAAGGGAGUGUAGGUGGUCUGAUAAGUCAGUUGUGAAAGUUUGAGGCUCAACCGUAAAAUUGCAGUUGAUACUGGCCGUCUAGAGAACAGUAGAGGUAGGCGGAAUGCGUGGUGUAGCGGUGAAAUGCUUAGAGAUCACGAAGAACUCCGAUUGCGAAGGCAGCUCACUGGACUGCAACUGACACUGAGGCACGAAAGUGUGGGUAUCAAACAGGAUUAGAUACCCCUGUAGUC
rnacentral:rRNA from 1 species